rnacentral:rRNA from 1 species
GUGCCAGCCGCCGCGGUAAUACGGGGGGUGCAAGCGUUAAUCGGAAUUACUGGGCGUAAAGGGUUCGUAGGUGGUUUAGUAAGUUAUGUGUGAAAUUCCUGGGCUCAACCUGGGGUGGUCAGAUAAAACUGCUAGACUAGAGUAUAGGAGAGGGUAGUGGAAUUUCCGGUGUAGCGGUGAAAUGCGUAGAUAUCGGAAGGAACACCAGUGGCGAAGGCGACUACCUGGCCGGAUACUGACACUGAGGGACGAAAGCGUGGGGAGCAAACAGGAUUAGAUACCCUGGUAGUCCACGCUGUAAACGAUGUCAACUAGGUGUUGGCCAUAUAGAAGUGGCUAGUGCCGAAGCUAACGCGAUAAGUUGACCGCCUGGGGAGUACGGUCGCAAGAUUAAAACUCAAAUGAAUUGACGG